rnacentral:misc_RNA from 1 species
CCAGCCAACAUGCUUUGUUUAUAAACCAGAAGAUGCGGGAGAUUUAAACCAAUUGAGAACUUUCAAGUGUUAAAUUUUACAUGAUAAGGAACACAAGAAUACCAAACAACAUUAUUCAAUUAAAGAUAAAACAAUUCCAUGGCUAAGCUGAAAUUUCAAUGUAUCUAUCUUCUAAGCAAUUUCACAUCUCCAUUCAUUGCUUCAAUUUCUGCUCCUCUCAUCCUCUCUCUAGAACCUUAUAAAUGACAAGUAAUUUCCAAGAAAAAGACCCAAUAGAAAAAUCCUGAUCAUGCCAAAACAACACAAACCCACGAACUAUCCAAUUUCAAUCUUCAAUGCCAUAGCUACCAUACUCAUUAUGCAAAAGCUUAAGAAAACUUGUUUCAUUCAAUAAUAAAAGCAGACAUACAACCUAAUCCCAACCACCACCAGCUUCAAAAACAAGCUUCCACAACAACAUUCAUUUAAAGGAAAAACACAAGAGAAAAGCUAGAGAGCAGUAAUUAUUAUUAUCACUGUACAAGCACAAGCCUAGCGUUGUUAUUAUUGCUGUUAUUGUUUCCCAUACCUCCUCUAAACUCCCGAUUAUUAUCAUUUGCAUUCUCCUCCAGUUCAUCUCCCUUAGGAACCGUCACAAUCAACUCUCCAUCUGUUAGAACCGCGCUAGCGAGCUCCGGCCUCGUUGAUUCCGGCAGCCUGAACCUCCACAUAUCCAAUUCCAAAUCAUCCAAUGAGGAUAAUUCCAGAUACCCAUUUGGCCUAACCACGAUUUUAGUGACCCCAGGGUGGAUUUCGAUCGUAUGAGCUCUGACGUCCCCGAUAUUAUCGGUUUCCACCACGAAUCGGAAGCAAUCAGGAUUUUCCUCCACCGAUACAUCGGCGUCCGAGCGGAAAGGGAGCUCCAAGACCCUGCUGAAGAUGUGGGGUAGCCUCCUUAGCUUCUUGUGGGACCCACCAGAAGAUGGGACCCUCCGAUGGCCGACGUUAUUGCCGGUGUGAUUAUUGAUGUAGUAUUGGAUUGCUAUGUUGUUUCUUUUCUUGGGCAUUGGAUGCACCUUCAUGGCUUCUUGGUUUUGAUGGCGGUGUUGGUUGUUUGUGAGAGAACAAGAAAUGGAGCGAGAUUGGGCUACAAUUAAUAGCAGCAGGAUAAAGAUGCUCUGGAGAUAAAAGAUGGGUAAAUUUGAUUGCUGCUGGGAAUCAAAAUCUUUGAAACGAUUUUGCUUAAGGAAUGGAAAAGGCGAAAUAAUGAUCAUAAAAAAAAAAAUUGAAAAACGAAUGGUGGCGUUUCUUGGUUGAGAUUGAGGAGAACCUAAGGCAAAACCGAUCACAACCCUAGGCCUAAAAGAGAAAUGAGAGCUGAAGAUAGGGUUAUAUUUGCAAAAAUCUAUGCUGCUUUUGAUUGAUUGUUCUUUUUGUGUUGUGUGUGCACGAGAUUGAAUGAAUACAAAAGAGAAAAUAUUCUAUCAAUGGAAAGGCAAAGGAGAAAUUUAAUUAAAAAAAGGGUCUGUUUAAUGAAAUCUCUUCCUUU